AGCAGCCGCGGUAAUUCCAGCUCCAAUAGCGUAUAUUAAAGUUGCUGCAGUUAAAAAGCUCGUAGUUGAAUUUCGGGAUCGAUAUAUCGGUCGUGCCUCGGUACGUACUGGUAUUUUCAGUUUUUCCCUUCUGACGAACCUUGAUGUCAUUAAUUUGGUGUCUUGGGGAAUCAGGACUGUUACUUUGAAAAAAUUAGAGUGUUUAAAGCAGGCUCACGCUUGAAUACAUUAGCAUGGAAUAAUGAAAUAGGACGUUUGAUUCUAUUUUGUUGGUUUCUAGGAUCGACGUAAUGAUUAAUAGGGAUAGUUGGGGGCAUUAGUAUUCAAUUGUCAGAGGUGAAAUUCUUGGAUUUAUUGAAGACUAACUACUGCGAAAGCAUUUGCCAAGGAUGUUUUCAUUAAUCAAGAACGAAAGUUAGGGGAUCGAAGACGAUCAGAUACCGUCGUAGUCUUAACCAUAAACUAUACCGACUAGGGAUCGGAUGAUGUUAAUUUUUUAAUGUACUCAUUUGGCGCCUUA
rnacentral:rRNA from 1 species